rnacentral:lncRNA from 13 species
CAGAGAGGUAUAAUGCAUAUGUAGAUUUAUUUUUCUUACUCAUGGAGGUGCAGGUGGUGAAAUGAGGCAGCAAGGCUGAAAUAGCGGAAGGGCUCCAUUCUUAUGUACAGUGUGCAUGAAGCGUGGUGCUGUGAGGGAGCACACGGACUUGCUCUGGGCAUGUAACACAGCUGCAAGAAUUAGCAGCUUAUGCAGUAUGUGUAGUGCAACCCCUUGGGCUCUGAAUUGCCUGCUUCAGGCAGGUGUUGUGAGUAUCUGCUCAGUGUACAGGAACCCUGCAAUGCAAGGUUCAGUCAUAGCAGAGUUACAUGCCUAAAACAGACAGUGUAGAUGUAUUCCCUCGCAUCACAUGGGGAUGCAUGUGUAGCUUAUUAAAUAAGGAUGCUAACCUGUCUGGUAGUGAAUUUAGAGGAGCUGAAGAUGGUCCCUUUUAUUUUUCCAGAUCUGCAGCCUUCCAAGAUGAGCUGAUCUUGGAUUCUGAACUUGAAGCAAUUCUUCAAGACUAUAUGCUUCCUGAAACUCAAAAACUAUCUGCAAUAAAUAGGAUUGGCCAUGAGAAUUUGUAACAUUCCUUUGGAAAUACUGUGAUGGGGCCACUGAGAAGUUACCUUCCUGUGUACAGGUCUGUAAACUGUAUUGUGUUCUGACUCUCUGUCAUGGUUUAGGAAUGGUAUUUUCCAAUUUAGUGUUCCCACUGAAGCCACUCCAAACUAUAGGCUCUUCACUACCUCCCUCCCUCCCUCCCUCCUUCCUUUCCCCUUCCCCUCCCCUGUGGUGGACUGGAGAGGAGAAUGGGAGUCACAAAAGGUGAAGAUCAUGGAUCGAGAUCAGAACAAUUUACUGGAAACAACGAGAUAAAAAAAUGAACAGUAACAGCAACACUACUAAUGAGAGAGUGUAUAAGAGAAAGGAAGCUUACUGCUGACCCCAUGGAAACCUCUCACAAUACAUGACCACUCCCUCUGCCACACUACCCAGGUCCAGAAGCGAGCCCUUCCCCCUGUCCUUGGAAGAUGACCUGAGGUGGUAUAGAAUAACUUCUGGGUCCUAGCCAUAACCCCUCCUGGCUAUUGCAAAAAUUAACCCUGCCCUGGCCAGAACCAGGGCAGUAUUUCAGCAUGUAGACCCCUGUGAUGACUUGUUAUCUUUUUUAUCUCGAAUGCAUGCAAACCAAAUCUAGUUUUAUGCUGGAGAAAGUGUUGUGAAAAAUUAUUUUUUUUCUCGCCAGAUGCUCAGGACAUAACUCUAUUCUGUUACUGUUGUACAGAUGUAGACUAACCCAUUCGUCUUCGAAGUGAGUGAUUGCAGUUUAUAGAGUUGAACUGCAGAAAGGAAUUGGGCCUGUAUGUCAUUUUCUUCUCACUGCUAUGCCUUUCAGUAUGUUUUGGAGUUGCAUUACCCUAAAAGGCCCUGCAAUCAAUUGCUUCCACCCAGGUUGCUCAGUGAGCAGCUGACUGCAGUUAUAGCUGUGGAUGCUUUCAGAAGCCCACUUAGCAAAGAGUCAGCAGAAUUACUGAGGCUUUUGGGUCAGGAGGAGCUCAGGCUCACGGAAAGUUUAAGAAAAUGAAAAAAAACAAGUUUAUACUUAAGAGACUGUAAGAAGAGCAUAAUAAUAAUGGCUUGACUCCUGUAGUGGCAGCAUGGCAAGGAGCAGUGAGAAGCCUGUAGCUAAUGCUAUGUCCUUGUCAGCUGAAAUGAUAGUGUGGCCAGCAAUCACUCGGAUUUAGAGGGUAGAAAACACUCCCCUGCAUUUCAAUAUGUUUUUCUAUGCAGCUAUAUAACAGAGAAAAAAUUUGAUUUCUUACUGCUUUCAAAGCUAGUACUGAACAGCAUUUUUAUAGAAAUAUGCUAAGAAAAACCUAUGGGAAUCAACUUUUCCAUCUGGGGGUCAUACCCUGCUAUCAGUUGCACUCAGGGUCUGUAGGAAUUGUAUGCCCUAAAUAAUAAUUAUCAAAAAUGUUAAUUUUGGAAUAUGCUGCAUUUCAUUUGCUUGGUUUACUUUAGAUGUUACUGUUUUCCUUGGUGACUCUGUAGUCACAUACUGUUUUAUUAGUCUGUAGGAAUUCUGCAGGGAAAGUGGCAUGUAAACCUUAAACAAAAUCAGUUGGAUUUAGGAGAUGAGAGGUAUCCAAAACAACUUUUAAUUCAUUCUUGGAGAUUAUUAUGAUUUGGUAAUACCUUUUAAAGCCAACACAGCUCCAAGGCACUUUAGAAACUCUUUGAACCUAGAUGUAAACCUCACACAAGGGCACAGCUUCUGUAAUGAGCGAAAGGCCUACAUCAGACUGGUUGAGAUACUGCAGAUACAAAUCUGAUAGUGGUGCCUUGGGCCUGUGUUGAGUGAAAACUGUGUGUUCAAAAAUAAGCAGCUUUUCAGUGUAAUUGAACAACUGUUGAAUGAUCUGUGUCAUCCUAAGGCUUUGACUGCACUGCUUCUUUCUUUAAUGAAGAUAUCCCUUCAGGCAAAAUUUGUGGUUUUCUUUGACAGGGGGUGGGGAGAAAGAAGUGCAAAACACUGGAAGACAUUUGGGAUAAAGGCAGAAAAGUAGUUGCAGUGCUGCCAUUUGGGGACUUUACUAGUAGCAACAACAGCUUUAUAAAAUCUUCCUUUCCAGACCUGUCUAUGAAUGUUGUUUGAAUCACGGCUCACCUAAGACUUCCAAGAGUUACUGCUAAAAUUGCCAAAGCAAAGUGAGGUUGGGCCUGUGUCUUAAUAAUGUAAUACAAAGGCAAUCAACAGCUGCCAUGAGGAAAAAUUUUAGGCAAGUCAUUCGUCUAAAACAUAAACUGUCUAAUUCUUGGGUAACUGUGAUGUACAUACAAAUUAGUAUUGUGCCAUUUAAAAAGAGGAUAAAUAUGACAUUAAUUUGAUAUAUGUACAUAUUAGAUGUAUGUAUAUUAAGUGGCAUCAAGUAGUGGGGUACAGGUGUGCUGCACCUUCAUUAUAAUGCAGAAGCAAAGGAAAACCAAUUAAAUUAAAAGGCAAGACAGUUCUACUGAAAAGGAGAUAGAAUAAUUUCCCCUUGGAAAGUAUUGCCCUGAGGUAUUAUCAAAAGGUAUUGCCAGAAAUAGAUAUUUACAUCAAUAAGAAUUCCAUCACAG